GUAAUUCGGAAAUAGACAAUUGCUUUAUAAGUGGCAAAAACUUCAUGCACAUAAAUAAUUUAUACUUUUUCGUUCGUACGUAUACUAUGCAAUGAAUUUGAUCUGUUUCACACCACGGAAAUUUUACGUCAAGUAUUGUUGGCCACAUAUAAAAUACACCGUAUGAUAGUAUAGCUGCAGAGUCUAUCCUGCGUAGUAAACGAUCGAUACUGCGUUGCUGAAAGUUAAUGAACAUAAUAGCUAAACCUAAUAUUAAACCCAAUCCUAUAUACACCCAAUCAUAUUUCUAUUUCAAGACUUAAUCUUGAUGCUAAACCUAAUCCCAAAACUAAAUCUAACUGAUAAAUCGGACUCUAAACUUAAUCAUAACGUUAGACC